UCUGUAGGUGGUUUAAUAAGUCAACUGUUAAAUCUUGAGGCUCAACUUCAAAAUCGCAGUCGAAACUAUUAGACUAGAGUAUAGUAGGGGUAAAGGGAAUUUCUAGUGGAGCGGUGAAAUGCGUAGAGAUUGGAAAGAACACCGAUGGCGAAGGCACUUUACUGGGCUAUUACUAACACUCAGAGACGAAAGCUAGGGUAGCAAACAGGAUUAGAUACCCUGGUAGUCC
rnacentral:rRNA from 1 species